UACUAUGACUCGUACAAAAUGAGACCAUCCCCCGAUGCCAUUUUCGUGGUAUUUAACGCGCCAUCACUAUUCGGAAAGUAUUGUAUGCCUAAAAGAGAGGAUAGAUUUACGACGAUAAUGCGUCCUACAAAGUCAAGUGAGAGACAGACAACAUUAUUACAGCUGCGUUGAGGUUUGGAUACUUUCAGGACAAUGAACUAUUUUUUAAAAAUUAAGCUGUGGCGGCUGAUUCUUCACUGUUGGCUUGUGAAACCAGGGAGCCUGACCAGUAUAAGGAUAUUCACUAAGCAUGGCUGUGGCAUUGUAACAGGUACCCAAAGUAUCCAGCAUACUGCACAUCAGGAUCAUAAAGACAACAUAACUGAUCCCAGUCAUGUCAGUGGGCCCUUAAUGAAGGAGAUUUAGUCUCAGCACUUCUUAAGCUUCCUAAACAACCUCUCCACUCAAAGGUGUUAGAAGGCACUUGGACAAUCGUGUCAUUUGGGGUGAAACUUGGAGGAGCACCUGUAUUGGUUGAGGACCCUCUUCUCCACUCUUGAUACCACCAAGCUCACAGUAAAUCUCCAGAAAUGUGAGUUUGGUCAUGCCUGCAAUCAAUUCUUCAGGCAAAUGGUGAGUCAAGGGCAGCUUGCCCCUGUAGUAGCAAAGACAGAGGUAAUCAAGACCUUCCCAACUCCAACACCAGGAAGCAGCUGAUGAGAUUUCUUUCUAUGGCUGAUUACUACAGAAGGUUUUGCACAACUUUUCAGAAGUAUUUACUACACUUACAGAGCUGCUCAUUAGCAAGAAGGUAUUUAAAGGGUUGCCUGAAGCUCAGAUAGCCUUCAAAAAACUGAAAGAUGUACUAAUUAAUGCUCCAGUUUUACAAACUUCUGACAUGAACAAACAGUUAAGUAUUCAAGUAUAUGCUGGUGAUGAAGGUGCUGGUGCGGUGUUGCUCCAAAAUGGGGCUAAUGCUAUGUUACACCAGGUGUGUUAUUUCUCUGCAAAGUAUUUCUUAUCAGAAACAUUAUACUACCAUAGAAAAGGAGGCUUGGUUUUGUUAUGGCCUUCAAAGAAGUUUAGCUCCGUGGCACCAGAUACCGAGUUAAGAUUGAUACUGACCAUAAUCCUUUGAAAUUCUAGAAAGACUGUAUGGUCUCCCUGUGAUCUUUCCAGUCUACUGGUUGACACACUUUUGCACAAAUGUCCUGUUUGAGAACGGCCUUUUUUCUAUCUUAAGGUUUGAUAAGUCCUUUUACAAGGCUUAUGGUGAAAUAGCAAACUUUUGCUGUUUUGCAUGGGUAGAAAUUUUGGUUUAUUAUUUCAUUUACUUAGGUAAUUUAUUUGUUCAAUAAAUGUUUGAUAUUAUA
rnacentral:lncRNA from 1 species